UACGGGGGGGGCAAGCGUUGUUCGGAAUUACUGGGCGUAAAGGGCUCGUAGGCGGCCAACUAAGUCAGACGUGAAAUCCCCAGGCUUAACCUGGGAACUGCGUCUGAUACUGGAUGGCUUGAAUUCGGGAGAGGGAUGCAGAAUUCCAGGUGUAGCGGUGAAAUGCGUAGAUAUCAUUUGGAACGCCAAUGGUGAAAACAGGUAGCUGGGGCUGUGCUGACGCUGAGACACGAAAGCCAGGGGAGCGAACGGG
rnacentral:rRNA from 1 species